GCGUCCAUCGGAAUCGAUCGGAAAAUGACGUGACUCAUAACGGAAGGUCAGGGGUUCGAAUCCCUUCGGGCGCA
rnacentral:tRNA from 1 species